rnacentral:rRNA from 1 species
UACGUAGGCAGCGAGCGUUGUUCGGAAUUACUGGGCGUAAAGAGUGUGUAGGCGGUGCUCCCAGUCUGUUGUGAAAUCUCCCGGCUUAACUGGGAGGGUGCGGCGGAAACUGGAAUGCUAGAGGGUGGGAGAGGUAAGCGGAAUUCCUGGUGUAGCGGUGAAAUGCGUAGAUAUCAGGAGGAACACCUGUGGUGUAGACAGCUUACUGGACCACUUCUGACGCUGAGACACGAAAGCGUGGGGAGCGAACAGG